GCCGGUGCCGUUCAUGUUUCAGAGAACUGCCCCUGACCUCAACGCCUGGCGUCUCAAGUCCCCGUUGGCUCUACGUUCCGACUCCGCCUCCGUCUCUCCCGAACUACCCUCUCCGCAGACAGGGAAUAUUCAUGCCAACUUAUCGAUCUUGCGGAGAUCGAUUCCUGGGCUGGUGGAAAGAGGGAGAGGGGAGAAAGAGGCAAAGAUACGGUGAAAGGAGAAGGACGGUGAACGAGGAGAAGGGAGCAUACUGUCUUUAUUUCGUUUUAUUUCACUCAUUUUCGACAGUGUGUGUAUAUCUGUGUUGUGAUUCAGACAUUGAACUGACAUUUUUGUCGAAUAGGCCUCUUCUGUCUCAAUUCGAGACAAUGGUUAUGUGUGUGUGGAUAACGCCUUUAUUUCAGUAGCCUAAACAUGACAGACAUUGAUUUCUCAGGACCACGUUUGUCUGUCCAGAUGCUUGUCUGCGUGUGGUGGCAGUGUGGCUGGUCGCUAAACCCGGCAGGGGAAGGCGGGACCAUUGAGGCUGGACUGGGGAGGGCGGCUGUGGCGCCGUCUGCGUUUCAUCUGCGCUGAAGCGGAAUAAAAGGACACAUGGUGGGAGCAGCCAGCCCGGCUUCCGUGUGUCGCUGCCAGUGUGUCACUGUGGCGUCGUCUAGCUCUGGAAUUAGGCAGCCGCCCCGACGUGAAACAGCAGCGGUUUACAGCUUUUCUCUUCAUCAUCAGUAGGGAGUGGAAGUAUGCGUAAUGUCCCUGAUCUAGGUGUGUAUGUGUCUGUAGAGGCGGGGGUUGGUGGAAAAUACCAUAUGAAUGCACUGAGCGUUUAUAUUCCACCCUCCCGAUGUAUUAAAGCCAUUCAGAAUGCAUGCACAUAUUUGCCUGUCACGGUUUAAUGGUGCAUAAAUACAGCUUGGUGUGCACCUUGGAGGUGUCUGCGUUCUUAAAGAGACAGGCACACAUUUAUCUGUGUAAGACUUUAUUUUUCUCUCUUUUUCCAAUGUGUAAUUUUCAGAUCAGUUCAAGUUCAUUUGAUUUCAGAAAGGCGAGUUUCUCUCCACCAUUUACUAUCUGUCACUAGAAGGGUGUUUAUACACCAUGAUGUAAAGAUGAGGGGAUGUGAGAGAGAGAGAGGGCAGAGGGGAGCGUAGAGGGAUGAGAGUGACCUGUUACCUAGAUGUAUCUCUAGAGUUAGCACAUAGAGGAGAGGGUGGAGAGGAAGGACAGAGAAGCGAGAGAGGGAGCGGGUACUGGGAGGAGGAGUUUUCGAGAUCUGCACGUUGAAAAAUGGCGAAUGUCAGAGUGAGAUAAAAAAAAUGGAGAAAGAGGGAGAGAGAAGCCGGUGAAAGUAAAAGCAGAUGACAGAGUGA